GAGGAACUGCAGUUUGUCAGAGAUCAGCUGUUCUGCUCUGGCCUCAGCUCUGAAGUCCAACAUCCAUCUGAGACAUCUGGACCUGAGAGGAAACGCUCUGCAGGAUUCAGGAGUGGAGCUGCUGAGAGAUCUUCUGGAGAGUCCAGACUGCAGACUGGAGACCCUCAGGAUCAGAUAUGAUGAGACGAUCAGAGCCAAGAUCCAGAAGAACUGAACUCCCAUCCCCCGAGUCCUGCGGCAGGAAGCGCUCCUUCUCUCCAAGAACUCCUGGACCCUGCAAGCUGGUCCAGAACCAGAGUCCCAGUGAGGAGUCCAGCCAGUCCACCUCUCAGAGUUAAACUAAACUACAACAUUAUUAAAGAUCAUGUUUAAAGUUAAAAAAGGAUGCUUUCAGACUGAAUCCAGAAGUUUCUCAAGCUGCAGUCAAAGCAGGUCAUUUGAGGAAUAUAUAAAACAAUUAUAAAACUGUAAUAAGAAUUACUCUGAAUACUUUCUUUGGACAUUUUAUUUAAACGACAUUUUAAACAAAUAUUUUUAAAUGUUUCUGACUUUCUAUCUGAGUGCUUUUCUCAUGAAUUAAUGACUUAAAUCUUGUUUUCUUUCUUGUGUAUUUCAUAAUCCUACAGGAUAUUAUAUAUUUUUUUCACAUAACUUUAAGACUAAAUAUUAUUUUCUUCCAUAAAUAUCCCACUUCUUGUACUUAUAUCCUGAUUGAUGAGUCAACAGUAAAGCAGCCAGGCGUUAACGGUCAGCUGGCAUGUGUAUCUGUUCAUUGGCUCAUAUGUGUAGCAUGUUUAAUGGCAGUGUGUUGAAAAUGGCUGACAGGUGAAUAUGUCAGAUCUCUGUGUGUUACUCAGAGAACCGUGUGCAGUGUUUUAGAAAGUGCAGAGUUGAAUUGCAGAUUGUGUGCAGAGCUGAAAAUGUGUUUAGAGUUUUGUUUGAUUUAAUCCAGCCAGUUCUGCCACAGCAAAGCAUAAGGGCUCAGAGCUUGGACCUAUUGUGUUCACAUUAUAUACGCUUCCUUUAGGCAAUAUUAUAUAUAUAUAUAUAUGCUGUUAAAAACUGUGUAUUUUGUAAAACGUGUAACUAAUCUUUAAUACUUUGUUGUAUGCAUGCUUUAGGUAACAUGAAGCUGUCUUUGUCUCUUUCCUGCUGUAACAAUGUACAUGUAUCCUCUGUGGGACUAAUAAAGGUAUUCUGAUUCUGA